rnacentral:rRNA from 1 species
UACGAAGGGGGCGAGCGUUGUUCGGAAUUACUGGGCGUAAAGCGCGCGUAGGCGGUUACUUAAGUCGGAUGUGAAAGCCCUCGGCUUAACUGAGGAAGUGCACCCGAAACUGAGUAGCUAGAGUACGAAAGAGGGUCGCGGAAUUCCCGGUGUAGAGGUGAAAUUCGUAGAUAUCGGGAGGAACACCGGUGGCGAAGGCGGCGACCUGGGUCGAGACUGACGCUGAGGCGCGAAAGCGUGGGGAGCAAACAGG